CCAGGAGUGAUGACAUUAGAGUCGGAUGUUUCAGGCUUUUCUUUUGGAAACAAAAGCUUCCCCUCAGCCUCAAAUUCUUUUCUCAAUCUUUCUUCCUCGGCUUCAGCUUCAGCAGCAUCUUUUGCAGCUCUAAAGCGCCGAGACCGUUGCUGAUUCAUUUUAGCUCUAGGUGCAACCCCAUCAAUUGCCAUAUAUAGAAGCUUCCUCGGUCGAACCAAUAAGAAAAGAUGGUCAAUGUAAUCAAAUAUCGAUUUGAAAACAUCAUCAUAAGUAG
rnacentral:misc_RNA from 1 species